GCCUAAUUGGUUCAAUUGGUAGGGCACAUGACUCUUGAUCUUGAUGUCAUGAGUUCAAGCCCCACAUUGGGCG
rnacentral:tRNA from 1 species